UAAUGUCUGGGAAACUGCCUGAUGGAGGGGGAUAACUACUGGAAACGGUAGCUAAUACCGCAUAACGUCGCAAGACCAAAGAGGGGGACCCUCGGGCCUCUUGCCAUCGGAUGUGCCCAGAUGGGAUUAGCUUGUUGGUGGGGUAACGGCUCACCAAGGCGACGAUCCCUAGCUGGUCUGAGAGGAUGACCAGCCACACUGGAACUGAGACACGGUCCAGACUCCUACGGGAGGCAGCAUG
rnacentral:rRNA from 1 species